UAGUGUACUUUGAUGGAGAAAGUAGCUAUAUGAAAACCACCAGGGAGAAAAGGCCAUGACUGAAAGCCUUUUUUGGGACUAAUAUAGUGAAGUUCACUCCGGAGUUCCAAAUGUGAAAAUUAAGCGUCUUAAUCGUAGCAUUUGGCGGUUAAAACCGAUAACUUUAACCAAGUGAACAGUAUAUAAGAUACUGUUAAUUAGGGUGGUACCGCGGAUUUUCCGUCCCUUUU
rnacentral:ncRNA from 1 species